CAUUUCCACCAGAAAUGGUUUAAAACUUCAACCAGUUAUGUCUCAAAUCACUCAAGUAGUGCUGAAUCUCCUUGAUCUGGCCUCUCCUCUUCUUUUCAGUUCCUUUCUAGUCCUUUUCCACCUCACUCUCUCCACUCUAGUCACAUUGGCCAUAUUGCCUUCCCUCCAUCACAUCACAGGUGUCCUCUAAAUGAGCAGGACCCUGUGGAGUUCCUGGGCACACGAGUCCUUCUGCGUCCUCCAUUUCUUGUUUUUAGGGAAUUAUCUUCAGCCUCCAUGACCUUCUCUGAGUUCCAAAGGUCAGUUACUAAUCAGGGGAGGAAGGAGAUGCAGAAACCAGAGAGGAACAGUCAAGUGGCAAUAGUACAGCCUUGGGGCAGGGUCCUGGUUCCACCUCAAGGAAUAUACCUAAGAAUAUCUUUGAGCCUUUCUGCAGAACUGAAACCCCCAACAAACAGAAGAACUACUUGAUGAAGCAUUCUUCAUUCCUAGAAGGAGGAGGACCACCAGAACCAGCUUGGGGCCACUAAACAUCAGCUUUGAGAGACAUUACAAGCUUGCUUCUAACCUGAUCCUUAUCUGUGGCCCUAUUUUCCACUCCCCAAACUAUAAAACCACCUCCUAAUAUCUCCCAAGGGCAGAGUCUUUAAGGCAUUAGCCUGCUGUGGCCCCCUUUGCCUGGCAAAGCCAUGAAACUCUCUUUCUCCUUCACCCAAAACUCUGUCUCCAAGUUUCUAUUCAGCAACAGUGGACAGAGACCAAGUUUCCGCAACAAUCCCAAACUUGGGACUUUUGCCAACACUACAAUCUCUGAUCAGAAGACACUCUGCAGGUUUUGACCUAGCUCCCUUAAAUACGACAUUCAAAUAUCUGCUCGCAAAAGGUGCUUCUUUGAAGAGCUCUAUCAGGAUCAUCCACCUCUCUUCCAGCCCUUCCUAGUCCACUUUUCUUCCAGUGGUUUUUCAUCUCUUGGUAUGAUUUAAUGCAUUUCCUUCUUUAUCAUCCGUUUUUCCCUUCUGGCAUUUAACCCCCACGACGGAGGAGAAU
rnacentral:lncRNA from 1 species